rnacentral:rRNA from 1 species
AGUGAACGCUGGCGGUAGGCCUAACACAUGCAAGUCGAACGGCAGCACAGUAAGAGCUUGCUCUUACGGGUGGCGAGUGGCGGACGGGUGAGGAAUACAUCGGAAUCUACUUUUUCGUGGGGGAUAACGUAGGGAAACUUACGCUAAUACCGCAUACGACCUACGGGUGAAAGCAGGGGAUCUUCGGACCUUGCGCGAUUGAAUGAGCCGAUGUCGGAUUAGCUAGUUGGCGGGGUAAAGGCCCACCAAGGCGACGAUCCGUAGCUGGUCUGAGAGGAUGAUCAGCCACACUGGAACUGAGACACGGUCCAGACUCCUACGGGAGGCAGCAGUGGGGAAUAUUGGACAAUGGGCGCAAGCCCGAUCCAGCCAUACCGCGUGGGUGAAGAAGGCCUUCGGGUUGUAAAGCCCUUUUGUUGGGAAAGAAAAGCAGCAGGUUAAUACCCCGCUGUUCUGACGGUACCCAAAGAAUAAGCACCGGCUAACUUCGG